rnacentral:rRNA from 1 species
CGGUCCAAACUCCUACGGGAGGCAGCAGUGAGGAAUAUUGGUCAAUGGACGAGAGUCUGAACCAGCCAAGUAGCGUGCAGGAUGACGGCCCUAUGGGUUGUAAACUGCUUUUAUAGGGGGAUAAAGUGUGCCACGUGUGGCAUAUUGCAGGUACCCUAUGAAUAAGGACCGGCUAAUUCCGUGCCAGCAGCCGCGGUAAUACGGAAGGUCCGGGCGUUAUCCGGAUUUAUUGGGUUUAAAGGGAGCGUAGGCCGUUUGGUAAGCGUGUUGUGAAAUGUCGGGGCUCAACCUGGGCAUUGCAGCGCGAACUGCCAGACUUGAGUGCGCAGGAAGUAGGCGGAAUUCGUCGUGUAGCGGUGAAAUGCUUAGAUAUGACGAAGAACUCCGAUUGCGAAGGCAGCCUGCUGUAGCGCAACUGACGCUGAAGCUCGAAAGCGUGGGUAUCGAACAGGAUUAGAUACCCUGGUAGUCCACGCGGUAAACGAUGGAUGCUCGCUGUUUGCGUCUGACGUAAGCGGCCAAGCGAAAGCGUUAAGCAUCCCACCUGGGGAGUACGCCGGCAACGGUGAAACUCAAAGGAAUUGACGGGGGCCCGCACAAGCGGAGGAACAUGUGGUUUAAUUCGAUGAUACGCGAGGAACCUUACCCGGGCUUGAACUGUAGGCGAACGAUUCAGAGAUGAUGAGGCCCUUCGGGGCGCCUAUGGAGGUGCUGCAUGGUUGUCGUCAGCUCGUGCCGUGAGGUGUCGGCUUAAGUGCCAUAACGAGCGCAACCCCUGUUCGUAGUUGCCAUCGGGUAAUGCCGGGCACUCUGCGAAGACUGCCUCCGUAAGGAGUGAGGAAGGUGGGGAUGACGUCAAAUCAGCACGGCCCUUACGUCCGGGGCUACACACGUGUUACAAUGGCAUGUACAGAAAGCAGGGUGUAUGCAAAUACGCUCGAAUCCCUAAAACAUGUCUCAGUUCGGACUGGGGUCUGCAACCCGACCCCACGAAGCUGGAUUCGCUAGUAAUCGCGCAUCAGCCAUGGCGCGGUGAAUACGUUCCCGGGCCUUGUACACACCGCCCGUCAAGCCAUGAAAGCCGGGGGCGCCUAAAGUCCGUGACCGCGAGGGUCGGCCUAGGGUGAAACCGGUGAUUGGGGCUAAGUCGUAACAAGGUAGCCGUACCGGAAGGUGCGGCUG